rnacentral:rRNA from 1 species
GAGUUUGAUCCUGGCUCAGGAUGAACGCUGGCGGCGUGCUUAACACAUGCAAGUCGAACGGGAAUUACUUUAUUGAAACUUCGGUCGAUAUGAUUUAAUUCUAGUGGCGGACGGGUGAGUAACGCGUGGGUAACCUGCCUUAUACAGGGGGAUAACAGUCAGAAAUGACUGCUAAUACCGCAUAAGCGCACAGGACCGCAUGGUCCGGUGUGAAAAACUCCGGUGGUAUAAGAUGGACCCGCGUUGGAUUAGCUAGUUGGUGAGGUAACGGCCCACCAAGGCGACGAUCCAUAGCCGGCCUGAGAGGGUGAUCGGCCACACUGGGACUGAGACACGGCCCAGACUCCUACGGGAGGCAGCAGUAGGGAAUCUUCGGCAAUGGGGGCAACCCUGACCGAGCAACGCCGCGUGAGUGAAGAAGGUUUUCGGAUUGUAAACCUCUGUCCUAUGUGACGAAGGAAGUGACGGUAGCAUAGGAGGAAGCCCCGGCUAACUACGUGCCAGCCGCCGCGGUAAUAC